GAGAUCCAAUGAUAUAAGUUUGAUUGAUAGGAUGCAGAUGUAAAAUCGUUGCAUAGCUCAAAUGAUUAUUUUUUAGAACUUUUGAGAAAAAUAAAGGAGGAGGAAGAGGGAAGGGUCUGACACGAGAUAUUAAAGAAAAACGUUCGGAGAUACAUCUUCGGACCAUCCCACUAACUUUUGAAUAAAUUGUGUUUAGGAAAAUGCAUCUUCAGACGCAUUUUUUCACAUGCGAAGAUGCAUUUUUGGAUUAAAUUUUUAC
rnacentral:lncRNA from 1 species